GGGCCCGUGGCCUAGCCUGGAUAGGGCACCGGCCUUCGGAGCCGGAGGUCCCGGGUUCAAAUCCCGGCGGGCCCACCA
rnacentral:tRNA from 1 species